rnacentral:rRNA from 1 species
UACGUAGGGCGCAAGCGUUAUCCGGAAUUAUUGGGCGUAAAGAGCUCGUAGGCGGUUUGUCGCGUCUGCUGUGAAAGACCGGGGCUCAACUCCGGUUCUGCAGUGGGUACGGGCAGACUAGAGUGAUGUAGGGGAGACUGGAAUUCCUGGUGUAGCGGUGAAAUGCGCAGAUAUCAGGAGGAACACCGAUGGCGAAGGCAGGUCUCUGGGCAUUAACUGACGCUGAGGAGCGAAAGCAUGGGGAGCGAACAGGAUUAGAUACCCCCGUAGUCC